rnacentral:rRNA from 1 species
UACACGCUGUGACUAGCAUAUCAAUAAGCGGAGGAAAAGAAACUAACAAGGAUUCCCCUAGUAACGGCGAGUGAAGCGGGAAGAGCUCAAAUUUGAAAUCUUAAAGGGUUUCCCUUUACGAAUUGUAGUUUAAAGAAGUGUUUUCUGUUGAGGUUUUGGUAAAAGUUCUUUGGAAUAGGACAUCAUAGAGGGUGAGAAUCCCGUAUUUGACCUUUACUUUCAACUUUGUGAUACACUUUCAAAGAGUCGGAUUGUUUGGGAAUGCAGUCCAAAAUGGGUGGUAAAUUUCAUCUAAAGCUAAAUAUUGGCGAGAGACCGAUAGCGAACAAGUACCGUGAGGGAAAGAUGAAAAGAACUUUGAAAAGAGAGUUAAACAGUACGUGAAAUUGUCAAAAGGGAAGCGUUUGACACCAGUGUUGUUUUUCUGAAAAUCAAUUAAAGAACUGUUUAUGCUAAGUUGUUUAGACUUUAUCAGCUAACUGUUUAGUUUUGAGCUUUUCUUUAAUGCUCUUUUCAGUUAACAAGUCAACAUCAAUUUCUUUUGCUGUAAAAAAGCUUGAGGAAGGUGGCUUGAGAUUCGUCUUAAGUGUUUAUAGCCUCUUGCCUAUGCAGUCGGAGAGAUUGAGGUCUGCAGCGUAGAUCCUUCGGGGCUAAAUGCAUUUGUGCUAAGUUAUAGCAUUUCAUAGACAACUUGUUGACUAUGAUUUGUCUUGUAGCUUACUCGCUUAUGUUAUUUUACCUACGCUUAGGAUGUUGACAGCAGUAUAGACUGU